rnacentral:tRNA from 4 species
GGAGACGUGGGUGAGUGGCUGAAACCAGCGGUUUGCUAAACCGCCGUACGGGGUAUUCCCGUACCGAGGGUUCGAAUCCCUCCGUCUCCGCCA